UAUAACUGAGGAAGAUAGAACAGCUUCAUAAAGCAUAUCACUCUGCUUUGCUUAGAUUGAAUGGGAAGGGCUGGCUAAGAGGAGAGGCUUUGGGAAAAUGCCUACAGCUAGAAAGCUAUCCUAAUGUGAAGCAACUGAAAAUAAACCCACCCCAAAACACAACCCUGCAUUGAAGGAAACUGGUAACCCUAAGUGAAACAUCUUUCUUUAAGACCAAGCUAUGCCAAGGGGAGAUGGUUGUCUAUCCCAUUUCUGCAAAGGGAUAUGUAUCUUUUAACGUUAAAGAAAGAAACCAGAAGAGCCUUUCAGAAGUAAACCAAAGAGCUCUUUUUCAGAAGGUUAGAAUCCACCUGGAGUAGUCACAGAAAUAAAUUGUUCAAACAAUAUGAACAUGUAACAAGAAGGGACUGCUUCUUAACAAGAAUAUGUAAUAGUACCCAGAGAAUAUGUAGUAACACCCAGAGCAAAGGUAAAUUAAAGCUAACCAGAACUGCUGUGUGGUUUUAUAACACAAAUAAUAAUAUUACCAUGAAGACAAGUAAUUAUGCCUCUAGCCACGCACAAUCUGAAUUCUUGCCAGCUUUGUUUCAUCUGUACCUUUAUAAACAAGUGCCUGUUCAAAUCCUCUUCUGCAAGCUUUUAAGGCCCUCCAUGAACCAGACGUAAGCUGUUCCUCAGCUCUUCUCAACACUGAACUCACCAUUCUCACUCUAGUGAUGUCUGUUGCUCUAGAGCAGAUAGUCUUUCCGGCAUG